rnacentral:lncRNA from 1 species
GAGGAGGAGGAGGAUCAAGGGGAAGAGGAGAGAAGAUUGUGAUAGGUCCUGCUUCUGUGAGAAUGGAGAGAGCUGGAGUUCCCCUGCUUUAAGGAAAGGGGUCGGCAUGGAUGCCCAGGGCCAUACCCUGCCCUUCAUUUCUCCAGGAGACCCGGCUUGGGACGCAGAGGAUUAAGGAGACUGACCUGCACAGACAGAGCAAACCCACUACCCUGCGGGAACUGGGGUCCUGGAGUGCCCCCUAGUGGAAGCAGCUGGGCAUAACCGUGCACCCAGUGGAGACAGGACCAAAACCAACCUGGACAGCAGUAUUGACCAAGGGCUUUAAAGAGCACAGGCUGCACUUUGCAUUUUGUGCCCCGGGAACGACUCACAUUGAAGACGAUGUCUUCUGCGCCACAGUUCCUGACCUGACGAAAGACUGCGGAGAGCAGCUGCUGAAUGAUUUGUUCCCGCAGCUAAUGAGCUUCCGGCUGGCGUACUGUAUGCUUCCUUCACCUAAGACUGAACCAGGUGCUACUUCCUCUCGGAGAUUCAAGAGCACACCAGGCCCCAGUUUAUAUUCUCUAAGAGAGACGAUUUUAAGGACUCACACAAAUUCAGCAUGCACUGCAAUAAAUGGCAAGGAGGGGCUGGUGAGAUGGCUCAGUGGGUAAGAGCACCCGACUGCUCUUCCGAAGGUCUGGAGUUCAAAUCCCAGCAACCUUACAUGGUGGCUCACAACCAUCUGUAACAAGAUCUGACGCCCUCUUCUGGAGUGUCUGAAGACAGCUACAGUGUACUGACAUAUAAUAAAUAAAUAAAUCUAAAAAAAUAAAUAAAUAAAUAAAUAAAUAAAUAAAUAAAUGGCAAGGAAGGAAAAACAAAACAAAACAAAAAACAAGGCAGCAAGAACGUUUCACAGGAGGCCAGGGAGGACUUUCUGGAGGUGACACUGGAAAUGGCAAAGGGGCCUGGUGUGGUAAGAUAAGGUCACUUUGCAGGGCUGAUCUACUCUUGGGGGCCACUGGCCACAGCUCACUGCUAGGUGGGAACAGGAAGGGGGCAACAGCAAGGAGACAAAAAGAGGGAUUUUAGUUCCAAUCUUCACUAGGGAAUGUUAGUUGGAAACUCAUUUAAAAUGGAAAUUUGGAGUCUUUGCCCUUGUUGAGCCUAUUUAUAGUGUCUGUUCUUCAGACUAAGGCAUUCUCUGCUUCCUCCUCCUAUGUCAAGGAAUUUUUAUUGGGUACCAAACACUGUGAAAUUUAUGGUUUUGGCAGGUGGACUAUGCCAUGUGCCUUUAAAGAGCAUCGGAGCUUUUAUGGCAAGCUGAACUCUCAAUUGGAAACUUCUCUAGUCUUUUGAAGACUUGUAUUCAAGCCUUGAAGAACAGGCCAGGCAAGGCCUUCUCUUCUUGGCUAACGUCACCUCACUUUCAAGGUGUGGCACCAGGAACUGGCCCCCAUCUCUGCAGUUAAAUCAAGACUGACUCUGGCCACUGGGAACUCGAGCACUUCUCCACUCCUGUGAACACUACAGUUGGUCUUCCCUUGCUCGUGACCCUUGUUGCCAAGGUCUUCUCUCCUCCCAGGAGCUGGGAUGUUGAAGCAGGAGGAUCACCGAGCGUUCAAGGACAGCCUUGUCUACAUAGUGUUCCAGGACAUCCAGGGUUACAAAGAGACCCUGUCAAUUAAUGCUGAUGAUAAUAAAAGUGGGAGUAACUAAAGAAGACACACAGCAUGGGCCUCUGGCUUCUACAUGUGUGGUCAGGGGUGCACACCUAUGAAUGUUUGCUUUAUGGGAGAGUUUAUUAUGCAGCUCUGGCUGUCUUGGAUGUGAUACGGAGAACUGGCUGGCCUCAAACUCACAAGAUCCACCUGCCUCUGCCUUCUGGGUGCUAGGAUUAAAUCUAUGCACUAUUGAACUCAACCUACAAAUAAAUAUUUUUUAAAAGUGCAAGACAAAACCACAGAAAGCAGGCCCUCAGAAUGGUCCCACUGUCACCACUGUCUAGCAGGUGUACAACACUGUCUAGACCUUAGUGUAGGCUUUAAACACUCUUGGAACAGCUACUCUCAGCUCAAGAAACAAGCACAGUGAAGCAAGGGGGCAUUUUUGUGGCAUACACCUUAAGGGCUUCUUUCCAUCUGUGGCCGCAGGACUCGGGAUCUGUGUCACCGAGUAUCUGACCCUUUGAUGGCUCGGUCUUUGUUCACACAGAAAGGAUUCAUACUGGAGCCAUGACAACGAUUAGAAAAGCUAGCAUGGUCCCUGGAUGACUUCACUACCAUCUGGUCAUAGCGACGGUUAAAAGUUGUCAGGGACUCACCCGGGAGACAGGCCUUCGGGCACAUCUGUGAAGAAUUUCCUUGACUAGGCUAACAUGAAACAGUAUUUUAAAAAAACUGAUUUAAAACAUUUUAAAGAUUUGUGAUGCAUGUUCUGUCUGUCUGUCUACCAAGUGCAUGCCUGGUACCCUAGGAGACAGAGGAGGCCAAUAAAUUGCCUGGAACUGGAGUUAUAGAUGGCUGUGAUCCACCAUAUAGGUGCUGGGAACCAAAUCCUGGUCUUCUGGAAGAUCAACCAGAGCUUUUAAACACGGAGCCAUCUCUCUAACUACUAAAGACUGAUUUUGAAGUUUUUUGAACUAAUUAGUUAAUUAAUUAAUGUUACAGAGCAUAUGUGGAUGUCACAGGGCAACUUACAUAAGAUGGUCUUCUUCCACCAUGUGGGUUUUGGGAAUCAAACUCAAACUGUCAGGCCUGGCAUUUUUACCCACUGAGCCCAGAAGCUGCCUCUUGGAUAAUGUUUUGUGUUUGUAUUUGCUUCACUUUCUCACACUUAAAAAAAAAGAUGUAUUUAUUUAUUUUAUGUAUAUGAAUACUGUUGCUGUCUACACACCAUAAAGGGCAUCAGAUCCCAUUACAGAUGGUUGGGAGCCACCAUGUGGUUGCUGGGAUUUGAACUCAGGACCUCUGGAAGAGGAGUCAGUGCUCUUAACCGCUGAGCCACCUCUCCAGCCCCACUUUCCCACACUUAAUGUAUUAAAAUAAAUGUUUUGGGGCAGCAAGGUAGCUUACAGGCAAAGUACCUGGCACCUGUGCAGAGAAGCCGUUCAGUCCCAAGAACCCACAGUGGGAAGAGAGAACUGACUCCCAAAAGCUCCUCACCUCCACACUAGCAAACAUUCUCUCGCACUUACAAACACGCGCAGGGUAAAGUAUUUAACAGUUUAGCCCUCAGGGACUGUUAGCAGACACUCCCUUCCUACCUGUACUUUUUACAAAGGGGCACAUUUAGGUUUAUAGGUGGAACAGGAGUGAAGCGCACAGUUCUGGACCCGCACUGCCCCAGGCUCCCACUGUAUCCAGCAUUGCGGAGGCGCGCCUGCUGGACGUGAUGAACAACGUGAGCUGAUGUCCUCAUUGCUGAGAGUUCCUAGCUUCCAUUAGGCUUUGCUGUUUGUGUGCACUCUGCAAUGUGUUGACAAUUGGAACCUAUCAUGCUGUGUCUACAGAAUGUUCCACCUAUUCCCACCCUGACAAUCUCCAGCGACUACUCAUCUCUUUCCUGUCUCCAUAGCUUUUCUUUUUUCAGAGUGUCAUGGAGUAGCAAUGGCAUUUGAGAGACAGUGUCUUUUUAUGGUUUGUUAAUACUUUUCUUUUUACUGAUGAAUCAUAUCUCGUUUUGUGGGUCUAUCGGUUUGUCUAAUUUGGGGGAUUUUUUGUUUUGUUCCAGAACAGUCUCACUAUGUAGCCAAAGCUACCCUUAUUUGCAAUCCUCCUGCCUCAGCCUUCUCAGUUCUGAG